rnacentral:lncRNA from 1 species
GUGCUGCUUUGGCUCUUACUGCUGCCACCACUGCCACUGCUACUGCUGAGGCCCCGGUUGUUGUUGGCUUUGUCACUUGUUUUAUUCUCUGCCCCUUCUGCCCUGUCUCCUAUAGAAAUACAAGGAUUAUCAAAAGUGAGUAUUGACAAUUCUGCCCUGUCUCCUAUAGAAAUACAAAGAUUAUCAAAAGUGAGUAUUGACAAUUCUAAGUCACUUGAGCUCAAACCAGUCAGCUAACUCAGCCCUGUAGAAGUCCCACUGUUACCUACCGUGCCUAUCAGAGAGGUUCUCAGUACAUAAUCAUUUACUGCUUUUAUUCCUUGUGAUGUUUUAUAUAUUCCUUAGCUAUAGAGAUGAAAUUUGCCAUAUUCACUUUAUUGCUGAGAAACAAACCUCUCUACUAUGUGCUUGCCAAGGAGACUGUUCUGAUGUGAGACAUAGGACCUAAGCUCUACUUUAUAGAAGCUGAGUGGAGCCAGGAGCCCCCCCAGAACAGCACUUGGAAACAACCUCAGUGAUCAAUACUGACAGCACAACCACAGAGACCUGGUAAUGCAGCAUGGGGGCCCUGAGACCUGGCAGAGGUAUGGAAUGGCACAACAGUCAGGCUACAGAGGCAGUGUGGCAUCUGGGACGGGGUGAGAAGGCUGCUACUCACCUCGUUCUACUUCACAUUCAGGGGAGGAGGCCCCGCUGCAUUCACUUCGAGGGCCCAACACUGGGAACAUCAUCCCAAACUCUGACAGGGACACAGGGCUGGGCAGAUCCAGGCUGCCAGGCCUCACAACCGCAGGGAACUGGUCAGGCAUCUCAGACGGGCUUGUUGGUCCUGAACUAAAGCUGGACACGGACUGGGUUUCCGAGUCAUCUUCAGACACAAAGUUGCUACAGCUGUCAUCUUCAAAGGCCUCCGAGGCCACUAAGUUGAGAGAGAACACCAGUCACAUGGGUUCUGUCACCUCCUCAAACACCACAAGUGCUUGCUGCUGGCAGGCAGCUAGACACAGCAUGGGGGACUAAAGAGUCUCUACCUCUGUGAGUGCCUAAUGAAGGAAUGUGACUUCCCAAGCCUGAAUGACCAGCCUCUAAAGCAGCUGGAAGGGAAGCAGCUGGCAGCAGGAUCCCAUGGAUAUUAAGCGCCCUUCCAAUAACCUUAUAACCCUGCCAAGAAAUCAGUGUCACCAGACACCACCUAAAAAUGGAAGAUUAAUUCAGCCACAAAUUAGGACCUUUACUCCACCUCAGUCCCCCAAAUACAUCCUCAUGUGCACAGGAAGAGGUUCUAGUCCUCUGUAACAUAUCCCAAACAAAGCCAGCUGGACUCAGGCUUCUUUCUUAGGGCAAUAGAAGCAAGAGCUGCUAGAAGAAACAGGCCAGCAUGGAACAUCUGUUGGGACCUUUGUUAUCUCCAGAAUCCUGACUUUGAGGAACACUUAGUACCUUCUUAAUGAACACAGUGUUCCAUAAAACAUGGGAACCCACCAGAAAUAGCCCUCAGGCCUGCCCAACUCUGAGACCUUUCACUGAUGGCCAGAGAAAGUGAGGACCUUGGGAAACAAAUCACACAGUCUGAUAUCUCCCCACAUACCCAGUGGAGCCCCUGACUUACCAGAAAUGGCAUCAGGCUCAGGUUUGCUCCCUGGCAGAUCCUCCACAGAUGUGCUGCUGCCCUCAGCACCAACACCGCAUCCCCGAGGCCCCAUGGCACUGGAGCGCCGCCGCUCGUGGAUCUCAUCUGAGAUCAUCUCCAGGUUCUUCAGGGCCAUCUUGUACUCGCCUUUUGCCAGGGUCAGUUUGGCCUGCAGGUCAUCCACAGUCUUUUUCAGUUGCUGAUCAAGAGAACAGGAGACUAAGUGAAGACUACCCUGCUAGCCUUAAGAUGCUUUCUGAAUGACAGGUUCAAGUACAUUUUCUGCCCAUCAUUCUACUUCAAGGAAUUUUCCAAGACAUGACUGAAGACCUAAUUACCAUUGUAACUGCUAUUCAUUCACCAGACAAAAUCAGCCACCACCAUCCCCAGAUCCCAUCCAGGUGACAACCUCUAAUAUCCAAAAACUCUCACUGGUGGAACAAACCCCAUCAGGGAAGCAAAAAUGGGCAUCAGACACACCAAAGUCCCACAGUCUAGACAUCUGGUUCCCAGUACAGUGGUUCUCAAAGUUGAGCUUGCAUCAAAAUCCCCUUGGGUGUUAAGACUCAGCUCACUAGACUCCAACCUCAGAGUUUCUAAUUCAGUCGGUCUAGAGUGGGACCUGGUCUAUCAGGUCUCCAGGUGAUGCUGAUGCUGCUGGUCCUAAGAGCAUGCUGUGAGAACCACUGGCCUAGUACAACAGAGAAGGUGACUGAAUGGCAGUUACAGAGGUUCAGAGACCACUGAAGACCCAACCGAGACAAUUUUGAGGUCUGAAAACUCAGUAAAGCCUGUCUCUCCACUUUCCCCUUAUAGCAAGUGGCCCAUGUGAUACUCUGCUACCCCAGAAAAGUGAAGCUUUGAGUGCAGAAAAAUCUCAUCAGUGACGAAGCCCAAAGCUACACAUACCUCGAGCUGCACAUAGUACUUUGCCUUGAGUUCAAAAUAAGGCCUGCAGAAGACAGGAAGGAAAGCCAUCAGAGUAAUAUAAUACAGUGACCACAGUCAACUCCACAAGAUGAACAAGAGGCAUCAGCUACCACUGGCCAGGUCGUCCUUCCAAUAUUUAGUAAACUCUUAACAAGGCCGUGACAUGUCAGUGAUGCUCCUAGCUCUGGAGACUGACAGACACCAGAUGGAACGACUGGGCUCACCCAGGGCUAUAUUAACAGGAGGCCCAUCUCAAGACACGGGGAACCCACACACACAUAUCUUGGGGACUCUGCAACUUAGCUCAUGUUCCUCCUCUGUGGGAAGGCUGUUCAGAGCCUCACAGGUUAUACCCAGCAGUAAGGGUGGCCUGGAUCUGCUCUCCUAAUGAAGUUGGCUCCCCAGGGAUGAAGAGCAGCUGAGGCUGGAGAAGGGGCUGCUUAAACCUCCUCCUCUACUGAAGUCAACUGGGGAAGAGAGAGAAGCACCACUCCUCCCUCACAGCACAGCAAGGCCACCACUAGGAGGGGGUCUCAGGUUGGUCCUCCCAAACCUUGUCCAAAGACUGGAGUUAUUAGUUGGCUGACUCAGCCACAUAAUGGGCCCAAGAAAUGCCAGCGUCCUAGCAGUUCCCUUGGUUCUGGGUCAGCUGAAAGAGCUUGGCUCUUUUUUAGGAACUUUGGUGCCUGAACAUUAAGAGUAGAUCACUGCUUUAUUCUUGAGCUGUUCACCCUCCAUGAAGCUCUCAAGUCCUGCAUCCUGAGGAUCCAGAUGGAUGACAAGGACACAGGACUGCCAUUGAGAAAUGAAGAUGAACUGUGUCACAGAUGCAGUGGAUUACUGACUGCCCUUGUAAUAGUCCAUUUUGCAUCUGUUGGUAAUUCAUUGAGGCACUCUUGGUUUUCUAUGAGUUUGUAUUUUUUGAAUUCAAGAAUUGUAACAUCACUGUUAGAUCCCUCCUUAUUUAAUGAGAGAAAUAAAAUAUUUGACACGAGAAAAUUUUAUAUUUGUAUCCCAAUUAUGCUUUUACCUUCUUAAAAAUAUCUUUUAACAAAGGCUUCAGUGCUUCAGAUAAUUUUUAAAAACAGAAAAACAACAAAAUCAGAGAAGAAAAAUAGGAGAGAACUGAGCUAAGCUGGCACGAGGAGACAUGCUUGCUCACAUGACUUCUCAACCAAGACCAAAGGGCUAAGAGAAUCCUUUCCCUUUGCUUCCAAAACCAGAUAUUUCACAAGGAAACAAAAUGCACUAAAAAUAUCUCAUGCUUGAUACUUGGGGAAACAGCAGUAAAUCUUAAGCUUUAAGGAUUUACUGGUAUAACCUUUAUGAAAACUCAAACCUUCAGGUUCAUCAAAGACAACAUGUUGGGGGUGAUUGUUUUAUUACAAAAAGAUCCAAUUAAAGGUUUACCUUUAAGGAGCUGUCAGAAUGCAUUUUCAACAGACUUGUAGAACCUGUAAUUUGAGGGUCCUGUACAGAAAGAGUCCCCUGUAAGAAGCAGGAUUCUCACCAUCUGCACACAGGCCCUCAUUCUAUCUUGGCCUCUAGGCUGCAAGCAGAAGCACAGGCUUUCUACAAUAAAACACUUGGAAAGCUCCGAGCCCAUGGCAAUACUGGCAGUGAAAACUGA